rfam:Ovis aries breed Texel chromosome 3, whole genome shotgun sequence.
ACCCUGGUGGUCCAGUAGUUAGGACUCAGCGCUUUCACUGCUGUGGCCUGGAUUCAAGCCCUAAUCGGGGAA